GUGUGCAGCCAUAUCACCCUGAAUGUGCCCGAUCUUGUCUGAUCUAACAAGCUAAGCAGGGUCAGGCUUGGUUUGUACUUGGUUGAGGGACUGUCUGGAAAUACUGGGUGCUGUAGGUU
rnacentral:rRNA from 1 species